CGAUGGUGAAUUUUUCAAAGUUCACAUUUGCGGCAAACAGAAUUAUUUUGAUACUUACUAAUCUAUUUAUUUUUCAUUUUACAGGUAGUUCAGGCUGCCAAGUUCAGAGAGCUAUUUAGUAUAGCUAACGAUUCCUGUUUUUCUUCACAGUGACAAGCUGCCUUAAGAUAACUCGAGAUGUGUUCUGAGUUUGAGCUCCUUUCUUCCCUUGAAGUGUCCAGUGUUAGCAGAUAAGUCGAGAUUCAGAGAUCAUUAUCGGUUAAUUACCAGCUAGUAUCCCAAAAAAUGCAAGGUCCACGGGCAUCUAAGACACCCACGGUCACAUCCUUUCCUGACCUUGCCGCAGGACAGGGAAUGCUCCUUUUUCCCUGUUCUCCAGGGAAUGCGCUGACCCCACUUCUCUUUACGGAGCGGGUGAUGCUUACGUUGUCCCUGUGUUCGUGUCCUCCGUAAGUUGGUGAGCAUUGUUCAGUGUUCUCCUUUUCCUCUUUCACUUCUCACCUUGGCUGUUACAGCUGCUGGGAAGCCGUCUGGGCAGCCUGAGAAGGGAUGUGGCUCUGGGCUGCCAUGUUGCGUGACUGCAGAGGGCCUCACUCACGCUAUGUUGUGGAUGGCUGCUGACCUGUCCUGAAGUUUGGCAAAGAGGCCACCCUUCUACCGCCCAGAAGCCCAACUCAUCUACUCUUGCUGUACCCCAUGUUUACCACUUCCCAUUGACUUCAGCAUGGAUUGUAAUUGUUUCUUUUCUUGUCCACAUCACCUCAGGAACGGGGACCAUAACACUGAACUUGACCCUGAGAGUAUACUCAGUAAAGGCCCCAGAGGCCUGAAUUGUGCUGUUGAGUUGGGUGGCUGCGGAUCCUGUACUAUGUCUCUAGGUUUAAGAAGGGUGAAGCCGCAGAGUGAUUCCCUGAUGUCAUCCACCGUGUUUGUGAUCGCGGACCUCCUCCUUCCUAAAAAUGGUGAGAGACAGUCUCCAGUACGGAGAUUUGGAGUAACAUUUGAGACAGCAACAAGGUUUUUUAGAUUUAUUCAAUAAUGGCCUAAAGAAGCUAUAAGUCAGCACUGGGUUCCACCAUCUCUUUUAAAAUGAUGCCCCGAAAGCAA
rnacentral:lncRNA from 1 species